rnacentral:rRNA from 1 species
GAUGAACGCUGGCGGCGUGCCUAAUACAUGCAAGUCGAGCGAACAGACGAGGAGCUUGCUCCUCUGACGUUAGCGGCGGACGGGUGAGUAACACGUGGAUAACCUACCUAUAAGACUGGGAUAACUUCGGGAAACCGGAGUUAAUACCGGAUAAUAUAUUGAACCGCAUGGUUCAAUAGUGAAAGACGGUUUUGCUGUCACUUAUAGAUGGAUCCGCGCCGCAUUAGCUAGUUGGUAAGGUAACGGCUUACCAAGGCAACGAUGCGUAGCCGACCUGAGAGGGUGAUCGGCCACACUGGAACUGAGACACGGUCCAGACUCCUACGGGAGGCAGCAGUAGGAAAUCUUCCGCAAUGGGCGAAAGCCUGACGGAGCAACGCCGCGUGAGUGAUGAAGGUCUUCGGAUCGUAAAACUCUGUUAUUAGGGAAGAACAAAUGUGUAAGUAACUAUGCACGUCUUGACGGUACCUAAUCAGAAAGCCACGGCUAACUACGUG